ensembl:lncRNA
CUUCUUUCCUACGUUCUGCUUAAGCAGCUGUUCUGCAUUUAUGAUCUGAUCUGCACGCUGAGUCAACGUCGCUGUAACGACAUGGAUGGAGGGCAGAGGUCCGCAGGUUUGCUUUGAGGAAGCCCCAUAAACAGGGCAGAUGUUUCUGAUGGCGAUGCCGGAGCCAGCAGAACCCCUGCAGCAGUGCAGCCCCAUGGUGCUGGAGGCCCUUCCAGACUGGAGGUGUGGCGGUGGUCUGCAUGUCAGCAGAGCAGUCCCAGCAGCGUUCAGCAUGGAUGAGGUAUUGAACGCAUCCCCGUGCCUCUGGGGGGCAACGUGGCUUCUGCUGACGUGUGAACACUCUGCUUGGCAGCCUGGUGCAGCACAUCACAGCUCAGAUGGGUUCUCCCAGGCGGCUGUGCAGCACAGAGCUAAUACAUGGAAUACAGGUGCUCGUGGACUCGUUCUGCACCGACCUGCCAGUCUGCAGGCCCCAAAAAUACAGGCACGGCCCAAAGGUUUCUAUUCAGGGCUCAGCAGUGGAAUAAGGAACAUGAGCCGUGGGAUAUCCCGUGUCACCGCAGGCUGCUCAGCCUGGAAGGGGCUGGUGGCAAAGGGAGGAAACGUCAGAAACGCCAUGGACUAUUUUAGAUCUGCAACCUCAGUUCUGCAAAGCCUGCUGAUGUGCCACGCUCAGCGAGCAGCGGGGAGGAACCCCACGGCAGGAAGAGAGGUUUGCAAGUUUCCCUUUCCCAUAGAGCACAUCCCAAACUGCUGCACGACAGCAUGCUGUGCAGUGCUGUGCUGCGUGGUGUCCUGUCAGCCUGCUGGGAGGACACGGAGUGCUCCAGCAGUGGGCAAUGUGGGAGCAGGCUGUGAGCUGCACAGCCCAGCAUACAGCACGGUGUGAGGCUGGAACUCCCAGUGCCCUCAGCACGUCUCCGUGCUGCGUCCCUGGCUGUGCAGCUCGGCCUGGAGGGCCCGGGGCUGUGAGCUCAUGGGUUUCUAUUUAUGCUUUCAUCUGGUUUUGCCUGCUUUGGACGGUUAACGUAACGCACACGCAGGGUGGUGCUUCAAGGAGACAAACAGUUGCUUCAUCUCCCUGUACAGACAGCCCUCUGCCCUUUGCGUUUCGAUUCCCGGUGUCUGUGUGUGUGGAGGUGAUUUGUCCAUAAUUGUUUGCUUUCUCCGGAGUCCUUUGAAGCGUCUGUCUCCCAACCGGUCCCCUCUUAAGA